rnacentral:lncRNA from 1 species
UCCACCUCUUCCUCUUACAAAAAUGAAAAAUGAUACUGUGUUUUUAAUCACAUCUUUAUUGUAUGGACUGUUAAGGAGCAGUGUUGAUUGUGUUGUUUGGCUCUGAACAAAACGUUGAUGCUGCAGUUUGGUUACUGUCCAUCUUGCAAUGACAAUCUUACAGGCCCCCUUGAAGAUGCAUGAGAGGAAGAUAUUUCCCUUCAGUGCUUCAGCAACUCCUCCUAUGAGAGAACUUCUGAGGCCAUCCAAAACCACUCCAUCAAGGUCUUGCCAGCAUCCGAGAACAGAAGAUAAUAAGUACAUAAAGGAUUUAUGUUUAAAAGUGAAUUUUCAUUUGGGUUAGUUAGAAAAAUACUGAUAUUAUAUGAGAGCAAGUAUGUUCCUUUGCAUGUUCUGGUAUGUUGUCUGUUUUAAUCACUCCACCUCUCUCUGAAAUGUCAGCCAAAAC